rnacentral:rRNA from 1 species
ACUCCUACGGGAGGCAGCAGUGGGGAAUAUUGCGCAAUGGGCGGAAGCCUGACGCAGCGACGCCGCGUGAGGGAUGACGGCCUUCGGGUUGUAAACCUCUUUUAGUAGGGAAGAAGGGCUUCGGCUUGACGGUACCUGCAGAAAAAGCACCGGCUAACUACGUGCCAGCAGCCGCGGUAAUAC